UACGUAGGGUGCGAGCGUUGUCCGGAAUUACUGGGCGUAAAGAGCUCGUAGGCGGCUUGUCGCGUUGUCCGUGAAAAUUUACCGCUCAACGGUGAACUUGCGGGCGAUACGGGCAGGCUAGAGUACUGCAGGGGAGACUGGAAUUCCUGGUGUAGCGGUGAAAUGCGCAGAUAUCAGGAGGAACACCGGUGGCGAAGGCGGGUCUCUGGGCAGUAACUGACGCUGAGACGCGAAAGCGUGGGGAGCAAACAGG
rnacentral:rRNA from 1 species